rfam:Gossypium raimondii Chr11_contig_1244, whole genome shotgun sequence.
UGCUAAAAAAUUUAUUCAUUUCUAUUAUUAAAAACUGACAUGAUUGGCAGAAUAAUCAAACAAUGAUGUAUGCCUCAUGUUAACAUACAGAAACCAAUUUUUAACCGUAGAAAUAGAUAAUUUUUUUAACA